rnacentral:rRNA from 1 species
CCAUGCCGCGUGAGUGAUGAAGGCCUUCGGGUUGUAAAGCUCUUUUACCCGGGAAAAUAAUGACUGUACCGGGAGAAUAAGCUCCGGCUAACUUCGUGC